CGGACGGGUGAGUAAUGCCUAGGAAUCUGCCUGGUAUGGGGGACAACGUUUCGAAAGGAACGCUAAUACCGCAUACGUCCUACGGGAGAAAGCAGGGGACCUUCGGGCCUUGCGCUAUCAGAUGAGCCUAGGUCGGAUUAGCUAGUUGGUGAGGUAAUGGCUCACCAAGGCGACGAUCCGUAACUGGUCUGAGAGGAUGAUCAGUCACACUGGAACUGAGACACGGUCCAGACUCCUACGGGAGGCAGCAGUG
rnacentral:rRNA from 1 species